ACUGUGGAACUGCCCAGUCCCGGCUAUUGACCGAUGCACAAUCGUUGAUCCACUUGGCCUAGAGAAAAAGACGACAACUGUAUUUAUUUAUUAUCUGUUUUCUUUAUUAAUCGAGGCCCCCUUUUGCUGACGUGGCGGUCUUAUCCGGGCUCCCCGGGUGGAGUGCGCGACGCUUUCCGCGCCAGAUACAUUCGGCAUCGCGAGCUGCUUUCUUUCCAGUAGAUGAUGACGGCGCCACGUGGCGUAGUCAGCAAUGGUCCCCUACUCCAUGUCAGCAGAUCCGUGGGCCAGACCGGAGCGCACCCAGUUCGGGCCUUCAAACAGACCCUGGCCUCAUAGUUAUCCGGCCCGGUGCCCGUUUUCUCCUCUGACAACGGCAAGGCCUACUCACCGGGGUUGGCCGUUACGCUUAACAGAGGGGUGCAAGAAGCGGAAUGGCCAUUCACUGUUGACCACAGUCGGCUUUUCAACGAGCAUAAGAGCACGAAAAUAAUCGAAAUAAUCAUAAAAAUAAAUUCUGGGCAGCAGCAUCAAACUUAUUCCUCUUUCCGGGAAAGUUGUUUUGACCGCAGACGUCAAUGAUGCGCUCAGAAAGCAUCAAGAAACUGACACCUGGCGCAAUAAAAAUGAGGGCCAUCAGUCACACGAAGAUAGUUGCAUGUAUAUAUAUAUAUGUACACACACACACACACACAGAUAGAUAGAUAGAUAGAUAGAUAGAUAGAGAGAGAGAGAGAGAGGAGGAGCGAGAGAGAGAGAGGCAGAGAUCAUACCAAGGAAGAGAGCUGGAUCAGGUUGCAAUUGAAAUGAGGUUCAUGGAGUUUCAGUUCAGCUUCCUGAAUAGCUUUGGAGCGACCUGCUCUUAGAAGACAAUUUUGACGAGUAGGGUCAAAAUUGAUAGGAGCCCACUAGAUCGUAAAGAUAGAAGGAAAGUCACUCACACAUUGGUCAACGCAUGACCAGUAGUCAAAGUACUGCCCAGUGCAGUGCUUGUGACCCGUAUCAUCAUCUUUGACCCUCUGAAUGCAUUUCUGCGAGAAUUACAAACUUAUUCCCUGCCGAAGUAGUAAAAACUGAGAGUACUAAUGGGAGGGAAAAAAACCUGAAAAUAAACGAGAUCAGACAAAGGAGCAGAUAUGGAAAUGAGAAAGCGGAAAAAAUAAUUGAACAACGGAAGGGAGAAACGGUAACCAUCAAGGACACAUCAAAGCUCUGGAGUCUCAUUUUAGAAUUGUCAAUUCGAAGGGAGCGGCGUAGCCAUUUUUGAAUUGUUCAUCCCAUGUUGGCCUAGCCACCUCCGAUACAAAAAUGGGUACUGUGAUUCCGCAGGAUAAUUAACAUUUCUCCUUGAAAGUUUCUCCAUCAAGGAACAAGAGAGCAUGUUUCUACCAAAAUCACUCAACAUUUUCCUCCUUCAGCACGUAAAACUAGAUCAAUUAAUUGUAUCUACCCUCAUAAAAUUCCAAGUUAAUAUUACCAGAGAACAUGCUCAAGUUUCAUGGCAAGAGAACAUAUAUCAAAUACACAGUAUUAAAACAUAUAUAUUCUGAAGGACGUACUAUAUAAGUAGAACAUUAUAUCUCGUGCCAUACUAAAAAAAAAAGAACGAUCAUGAGCUCCAAGUCUGCAGAGAUUACUCGAGAAGUUACCCCAUAAUCAACCCAGCUUUUUACACAUUUUGGUUUGCAACCGUCCUCAAUGUACCGUUUUGGAUCAACUGGUUCAUCAUCCGCCCUGCAGAAUACCCGCGUAUGAGCAAGUAAUCGAGAACAAGUAGCAGGCUGCAAGGAAGCAGUAACAUGAUGGCGGCAUGUGACUCAACAAAUAUAUACAACCAAUGUCAAGACAGUAAGGUAAGGACAAUAGUUUUCAUGCAUUCUUUGUGCUCAUAAUUUUUCCUGCAACCCUUGUCCUAACGCAGGAAACAUUGAUUCCAACAACAUUUUUGAGAGCCUGAUGAAAUGGGACCCAUGGCUCACUAAUAGAUUCUCAAGUCCAUGAUGGAUGAUCAAGUUGGUGUCCGGAUUUCUGGAUGAUAAUCUAGUGGUCCUCCUGUUUUUCUUUCUACUGAGUAACUAAAUCAUAGAGUUAUGAACAGAGUUCUGUUUAAGUAUGAUAAGAUAUGGUCGACGGCCAUCCGCCCACGAAGAGCGGCGAAAUAACGACUGAGGAGAAAGUUAAAGAGCAGGCAAAUCUUCGAUCAACACCGAAUCUCGUUCGCCUGAUCACUCGUUUUACAUUGCAGACGCUAAGAAUUUACGAUCUAAUAAAUACGAUUAUCAUAACUGGAAAAUUAUCUAUAACCGUAAGCGAUGGAAGAACAAAAUUCCAGAAAGAGGGAAAAAGCAGAUGCAAAAUUUCUUUGAUCCAUUAUUGAAUCGGAACACUGACAUGGAGACCGAACGCUCGACUGGUGCUCGACCGGCCUGCAAGCAGAAUUCAACACAUUACCCGCAAUUCAACAAGAACCAAACCGGAUCCAGCUCAAACGUGAAAAUCCUCGUCGUAGAUGAGGGAAGAUAUCUUCGCGAUCAUCAAGAUGUGGACAGACUGUUCUGCAUUACGAGUUAUCUCGCGGACUUACCUUCUUCGCUCGCCGGGGGAUUCCCCUGCCAAGUACAGCCGGUGGAGGGGAUUCACAGGCGCCACCAAGAAGGUCCUAAUCUCGCUGUCCGUGCAAUCAGUCCACUGAACGGAAUCAACGGUCAGAUGAAAAACGGAACGACUGAUCUCAAAGAUCGUACGGUAGGCAUUAUUUGGCCGCAACUGCGCAGGGGCGACUCCAUUAACGCUAUUUCAACCACUCAACAGAGAGCACGGAGAUUGCCACGUCUGCUCCACUAUAUUUAAUCCCUUCCGUUGGAUGUUUUCGCAUCGGACGGUCAUAAUUUCACCGUGGGAUUUAAAAAUUUUCGAAGUCCCGCCCUCUUCCGUCUAUAAAUAGCACAAUUUCGCCAAUUUUUGAAGUCACGAAUCUGAGCGCCCUCUUCCUCCGACUUCCUUGAUCGCAGUACGUCUUCCUUGAACAGAGAUGGCGAGGACUAAGCAGACGGCCAGGAAGUCCACCGGCGGGAAGGCUCCCAGGAAGCAGCUGGCCACCAAGGCCGCAAGGAAGUCUGCUCCGGCGACCGGCGGCGUGAAGAAGCCGCACAGAUUCCGCCCCGGGACCGUGGCGCUGAGGGAGAUCCGCAAGUACCAGAAGAGCACCGAGCUGCUGAUCCGCAAACUCCCUUUCCAGCGCCUGGUCCGGGAGAUCGCCCAGGACUUCAAGACUGAUCUCCGCUUCCAGAGCUCCGCUGUUUCCGCUCUGCAGGAGGCGGCGGAGGCCUACUUGGUGGGGCUCUUUGAGGACACCAAUCUCUGCGCCAUCCACGCGAAGCGCGUCACCAUCAUGCCGAAGGACAUUCAGCUCGCUCGUCGGAUCCGAGGCGAGAGGGCCUAAGCGGAAGGGGUCUCUCCUCACGCGCGAUGGUCGCUACUGGCUUUAGAAGGCGAUCUAUGCGAUCUCGGUACCUAGGUCGGAAUACUCUCUAUGGCAAUGUGGCCUGAGAAGCCUGAUUUGUACAUCGUCUCUAGGAAAUUAUAGUCAUAGGUCUUCUCCUACGUGUACUCUCCUCUUCUCGGUCACCUCGAAUGCCGUAACCUGAUCUGUAUGCAAGUUUUCGGUCAUUAAAUCAGCGUUUCUGAUUCAUCUGGUUCAGCAGCACCUGGAGUUAUUUCAUUAGAAGGGUAUAAAGAGGGACACGGCCUUGACCUGGAAGAGAAUUCUGGCGCGUUCCUUGCCCAUCCUUAAAUGCGGCCCGUCUUCCCCGCUCUGGCUAGAUUCGCGUGAAACCAAAGCCGCGUCUUCUCCGAAGGUUUCAUCGUAGGGGGAUAAGUUGGGUGGGUAGAUCAGCCAGACGAGGUUCUUCGUAGAUGAAGAUCACGGCCCUCAUGAGAUCGUCCGCCUCAGGGAAGACCUCGUCGUCACCGACGUCAGCCGUUUCGGUUUCUUCCAGAGUUCGGCAGCUAGGGAAUUCAUCAUCUUUGUCAGUCGCACCGUGGCCAAGAGGACUCUUCCUGGCCAGCGGCAAUCUGUUCAGCAUGAAGGUACGUACAUCUUUCAUGUUCACUCCGACCUCAAUUCAAUGUACUUGUUUUCAGCCUGCGAGAACCCAAAAUUCCCUUCUUUUGUAUGAUUUCAUCUGGCGGCUUCUUCUCGGUAGAAAUUCGCCCCAAGUUUGCUCAUCUCUCUCUGAUCUCUGCUUCCAUAUCAUGGUUGUUCAUAUAGAUCUGUCGGUUCCCGACGUCGGUAUCUUGUAUACAUGUGCACCAGAACAAUUAAUAUGUGGCAAGUCAUUCAGGCUCUGUCACUUUAUUUCUAAUCUUGGGUUAUAUCUUGAACCCAGGAGUCAUUUCGUUGGGUGUCUAACCAAUCCCGUACCUUUUUUUUUCCUGCAUCUCUAAUCUCGUUUCCUUCAUCUUCUUUAACUGGUUCUCAAUUGAUUUACUGAACUUUUACGUUCUUCCAGGUUGAAGGCAAAUGAACCAACCUUGAGUAACCCACACAGAGGCACACUGAGGAUACCGAGGUAAUCUGUGUAAUACCAAUGCUCAACGACAUUUUCACGGCAACUCAUCUCCCCUUGUAUAGGCAGCCAUUUCAAGAAAAGCCUCAGUGACCUUCCCGGAAGAAACUCUGAAACACAACUGCGCCACUAUCUGUGAGACUCACUCGCGAUCUAAUCAACAGCUCUUUUCUAGCUGACAAGCAGUCUAGUAUGCCGUGUCUGUGCAUUGCUGUAGAACAUGCGCCGGCCUAGGUUCCUUGUCAAGAACCUCGCCCACCGGAUCACGGUGACAGAGUAGUAAUAAUGGCCCAAGUCAGUUUACUACCGUGAUGAUGGCAUAAGACUUCUGAUUAUUUACUACACUCCUUAUAGAUGGUUCCUAUGACUGGCCAUGCAAAUUUUUUUAUUUUUGCCAUGGAGAAAAACCUUAUGUGAUACUUACAUGUGGCCAUCAGCUGAGGGAGAAAAUGCUUAAAAUUUAGCCCUUUAAGAUAUUUACUCCGGCCCGUUGUUCUUUGAUAUGCUGAAAACUCUAAAUUUAUCUGAAUUUCAGAAUGUAUGGUUGGCCAUAAACCAGAAAAUUCCUUGCCGUGCAAUUCUUUUCCAUAUAUAGAGGAGAAACCUUGUUCUAAAUUACAUUGUUGUGAUCCCACUUGAGGAAAAAUCGGAAACAUUAUACUCGAUUUAUCAGGGUCUACUUUGCAGAGUACAAGGUGCGUUCUUUCUUCUAAAUAAGGUGGGUCGAUUUUGUUAAAAUGGUGUUAAUCUAUGUACUUCCAGUUCACUGCGAAGAUAGAAGCAUCUAUUUCUUGAUGUUGAUUUCUGUUUGAACCAGCUUGUCAUUUUCCAUAUCUUUACUUUCCUCGAAUGCAUUUUUAGUUUUUUUGUUCGAUUUAAUAUUUGAAAGCAUAGGUGAAUCGCCGAUGAUGUGAUUGUUAGAUCACAGCUAUGGCCCAUUCUGGGUCUGGCCUGUUAAGGGCUCGUAUAAACUCUUGUAUUUCUUUCCAUUUUGGGGGUGACGGGGGUACACGAGGGUUCCAUCUCUUCUUCACAUGAUAUCAGAGCCCUAAGGGCUCCGAUCAUUCGUUGCUGCCACGCCACCACCUUCAUUGCCGCCGCGCCGCCACUCUUCUCUUGACGCUGUCUUGCUCUCUGUGUCAUCCCCUAUUGGCACUGCCCCCCCGGUGUGCUUCAUUUCUUCAUGCGCCACCCUCCUUCAAGAGCUGCCGCCGCUCCCUAUUCGAAGUCUCCACCGAUUGUGUCGUCGUUGAAACUCAUGAUUAAGGUUUCUGAGAUCCUAAAUUGCAUCGAGUUGACUCAGUGAUCCAAUGAUAUCUCACGCUGUCCUACUCGGGACAGGACGACGAUCGGAUAGGACGGGACGCUGCACUUGAUCUGGUUCCACCUCUCAAGCUGUCGCUCUUCUCAUGCCGACACUGUGGGAUCAUCUUUGUCAAGCCCGACAGUUGCCUCUUUGACUUGUGCCUUGCCAUCUGAGAUUGUGCCAAUCACCUGUCAUGCUAUCAUUGCAUCUUUGACUCAGCCCGCCUAUGUUUUCGAUGGGCAUAAUUAUGGCUCAUGGGCAGCUUGAGUUUGAAGACUUCAAGCCCAUAAUCUCCUGCCUCAUCUGACCUCAUCUCCUCUAGCCAUGACUGCCCCCGACUAUCUAGUUUGGGCUCAGCUUAAUUUUAAUGUCCUUACGUGGAUGCGCCAGAGCAUUGCUCCCUUGAUCACUCAGCCUCUAGGUUAUCUCAAGUCCACUCAUCUCUUAUGGUAAACUCUUGAGACUAUGUAUGCCAAUAAGAUCAAUAUCAACUGCACGGUUGAGCUUUAUGAGUUUCUCUUUGAAUACAAUCAAGGCAACCAAACAUUUCAUGAGCAUUUCACCAUGUUUUAGGACAUUAUUAUAGAGCUCUCCAUUUAUUACCCUUCAACCACUGAUAUUCAUAGCUUGGAGUGUUAUCAUGAAGAGCUCUUUGUUGGGGAAUACCUCAAUGGCCUUUGCCCCAUGUUUGCCACUUAGAUUCGUGACUCAAGAAUUGUCAAUCACUUCGGUCUUCUAAUAUGCUCUUUGGCACACUAGUACUCCUUCCACCCAUGUAUUGUCUACCUUACCAUACCCCUCUAACUUGAUUAGAUUUGGAGCUUGUGAUGGCUGAGACCUCAAACCAUUUGAUAAAGGCAAAGGAGCAACUAAGGGUAAAAAUGGGUUCCCACCAUGUAUCUACUGUGGCAAGAUAAUGUGACAAGAUGAGUUAUUCACUAGAGAAAUGUUGGAAGGAAUUUGGCAAGCUCAAGUGGGCUCAAGUGGCUGUCUCCACCAAGUCAUAUAGUGCGGCUCCUUCUCCACCUCUCGUCCUUCCUUCAGUGACACCAUCAGCUCAAUGAUUCAUAUGACUAUGACUCCCAUGGAAUAUGAAGCAUGGAAGCAAGCUCAAGCUCCACCUUCUCAUGCUCACUCAUCUGUAGUCUUGCCUCUACAUCAAGUACACAUGCCUUACUUGCAUCUCAUACAUCUUGAGUUAUCAACUCAAGGACCUCUACCCAUAUGACUAGAUCUCCUUUUAUCCUUCAAUUUGUCACCCCUACCUCUACCUAUUUUCCAAUUUUUAUUGUUGAUGGUCAUUAUUGCCCCAUCAAAGGGUAUGAAAUGACCUCUCUACUCCCACCUUGCUAUUAUGGGAUGUUUUCUAUGUUCUUAGUUUUCAUACCAACCUUCUAUCCAUUAGUGCCAUUACAUAAGCAUUAAAUUAUGUUACUAUCUUUUUUCGUUUUCAUUAUCUCUCAUGACUUACAUACUAGACGGAGGAUUGAUUUGGGACAUGAGAAUGAUUGUGGCAUUUAUGAGCUCAUUUUUUAUUCUCCUUCCUUAAGACUUCUCACUUUGUUUGCCUCUUCUACUUCCACUUCUCUUUUGUGACAUCAUCAUUUGAGAUAUCUAUGUUUUUCAAAACUUAAAAAAUCACUUCCACAACUUUGUCUUUCUGAGUUUGUGUGUAAAUCAUAUCAAUUAGGUAAACAUCAUCACUCUACCUAUCUACCUCUAGAUGUUAUUCCAUCUUCUAGGCCAUUUGAUCUUAUUCACUAUGAUGUGUGAGGUCUUUCAUAUGUAGCCUCCUUGAUGGGUCAUCUCUACUACAUUAUCUUUGUUGAUGAUUAUACUUGUGCUAGUUGGAUAUAUCUAAUCAAAGAUCACUCUCAAGUUAUGAAUAUUGUUCAUCAAUUUCUUCUGGAUAUCAUUACACAAUACUCAUCUACACCCAAGAUCCUCUAGACGAAUAAUGUCUUGGAGUUGGUCCAAGGUGCCCUUCAAUAUUUUUGCACAGAUCAUGGUAUUAUACACCAUACAUCUUGCCCUCACACCUCACUGCAAAAUAAAGUCACCGAAAGGAAACAUCAACACUUUCUUGACAUUACUCAUACACUCAUUAAAAUGAAUGUCCCCCACUACCUUUGGUUCAAUGUCCUUCUCACCACCACCUUUCUUUAUAAUCACCUACCUUUGUCUCCUUUCAGUGGUGCAAUUCCACUACAUCAUGUUUCUCCUAAGGUUAACCUCUUUCCACUACCCCCUCGUGUCUUCAAUUCCACGGCCUUCAUUCAUAAACAUUCUUCAUCUCUCUCUAAGUUAGCCCUCACACCCUAAAAGACAUCUUUGUUGGCUACUCUUGCAUGUAGAAGGGCUACUAGGUUUACUAUCCUAACACUCCUCACUAUGUUACUUCCACUAAUGUCACUUUUCAUGAGAAUGUCUCUUUCUUUUCUUCCUCUAUUAUGCCUUCUCCAACGUCCUCCUCUCCACCUUCUAGCUUCCCUCCAUGUUCCUCAUCUUUGUCACUCUUGGUGAUUUAUGCUUCUGUUAUGACACAAUAACCCCCGCCAUCUACAUCGCCUAAUGUCGUAGUCAUGUCUUAGUCCGUCUUCUCUACUCUGUUAUCUUCAUCUCCUUCCUCUACCUCUUUGUCUUCCCUUCCUUCAUCCACCUCUUCUACACCUAAUGACCUCCACCUCCCCAUUGCCUUACACAAAGGCACCCGUUCUUACACUCAACAUCCCAUAUCCCACUUUGUUUCUUAUACUUGCCUUUACCCCUCCUUUACUAUGUUUGCCCUCUUCGUCUUGACUAAGUCAGUCCUUGAGAUAUACUAGGCUGCCCUUUAGAUUCUUGAAUGAAAACCUACGAUGAACAUUGAGUAUAAUGCCUUGAUUUAAUGGGGCACCUAAUAGCUUAUUCCUCGACCUUGAGAGACUAAAUUGUGACGUGCAAAUGACAUCAUUGUUCAUCACAAAGCUCAUUUUGUGGCCUAGGGAUUCACUCAAGCCUCUAGCAUUGACUACAUGAAGAUCUUUUCUUCCAUCGUUCAUCCUAACUCCAUCCGUGUACUUCUCUUUGUGAUAGUAAAUCAAGUGUGGCCCCUACAUCAAUUGAACGGCUCCAACACAUUCCUCUAUGGUGAUUUAGUUGAACAAGUCUACAUUGAGCAACCUCUAAGGUAUGUUGCUCAAGGGGAGACUCAUGUGUGCUUACUCAAACGACUCAUUUAUGACCUCAAGUAGAGUUUGCACACCUAGUUUUGUGAAGUUCACUCGUCUUCUUACUACCUAUGACUUUGCUCUAUGCAUGAUUGAUCUGAUUGUGAUGUGCAAGACCACAUCAAGUGGGAGUUUGGUCAUUGUAGUCUAUAUUAAUGAUAUUCUUCUAACUAUCAGUGAUGAUAUAAGCAUCUAUGCAAUGAAGUCAUAUCUUCAUUAGUACUUUGUCCCCCCCCCCCCCUUACUAGUACUUCUUUGAGAUUGAGUUUACCUACCGAUAGAAGAAGCUAGCUUUCUCCCAAAGAAAGUAUGCAUUGGAUCUCCUUUAUUAUACUAAGUUGUUAGGGUAUAAACCUGUUUUGUCANNNNNNNNNNNNNNNNNNNNNNNNNNNNNNNNNNNNNNNNNNNNNNNNNNNNNNNNNNNNNNNNNNNNNNNNNNNNNNNNNNNNNNNNNNNNNNNNNNNNNNNNNNNNNNNNNNNNNNNNNNNNNNNNNNNNNNNNNNNNNNNNNNNNNNNNNNNNNNNNNNNNNNNNNNNNNNNNNNNNNNNNNNNNNNNNNNNNNNNNNNNNNNNNNNNNNNNNNNNNNNNNNNNNNNNNNNNNNNNNNNNNNNNNNNNNNNNNNNNNNNNNNNNNNNNNNNNNNNNNNNNNNNNNNNNNNNNNNNNNNNNNNNNNNNNNNNNNNNNNNNNNNNNNNNNNNNNNNNNNNNNNNNNNNNNNNNNNNNNNNNNNNNNNNNNNNNNNNNNNNNNNNNNNNNNNNNNNNNNNNNNNNNNNNNNNNNNNNNNNNNNNNNNNNNNNNNNNNNNNNNNNNNNNNNNNNNNNNNNNNNNNNNNNNNNNNNNNNNNNNNNNNNNNNNNNNNNNNNNNNNNNNNNNNNNNNNNNNNNNNNNNNNNNNNNNNNNNNNNNNNNNNNNNNNNNNNNNNNNNNNAGGAGAGAGAGAGAGAGAGAGGGCAGUUGGACGGUCACAUCUCCCUAGGACAUCCCUAUCCACGGACCCGCCACGUAGUUUCCAGCCCUCACAUCCCUAUCCCUUCCCGCCCACCAGCUCUGCUCCGCACGUUGCGCUGUACGCACAGGCGCCACCGUCCCCGUCAUCCUCGGCUUCCCCUCCUUCCUCUCUCUUCCGCCGACUGGGAACUCCCGGUGGCGGUGUUGUCGGCAGCGGCGGCGGCGCUCCCUCUCUCUUGCUCUCGCUCUUAGGCGCCAUGGACCACGCGGCGGAGGCGCACCGGACGGACCUGAUGACACUGACGAGGCACGUCCUAAACGAGCAGUCGAAGCACCCGGAGUCCAAGGGCGACUUCACCAUCCUCCUCAGCCACAUCGUCCUCGGCUGCAAGUUCGUCUGCUCCGCCGUGAACAAGGUGCGAUCCUCCGCCGCUGCGAUCAUUUCUGAUGGUGAUGAUCCCCAGUCGGUCAUUCCAUUCCCUCUGUGAAUAAUGUUCUGGUAUUGAUCCGCGAUCGGCUUCCCCCUCUCGGUGAUGCCGCCUCACUUUUCCGUGGCCAAAGCUCCGAUUUGACUUGGCGAUUCCUUCUUCAAUUAUCUAGAAUCGAGCGAGAUCUCCGAUGCAUCGAGGAAUUCGAUGAUUCCGCUCCAAAUGCCUCACGAUAAUUUUGUCCGCUGCGACUCGGCCUCGUCAGAUAGCCUAGGAUUCAUCCGGCUAUGGUUUCUCCCCUCCCCAUCCUCAUCAUAUAAGGACGGUUUCUUUUCGCAGGCUGGCCUCGCGAAGCUCAUCGGACUUGCUGGAGACACCAACGUCCAGGUAGAACUCUCUUACUCAUCUGUUCUCGACUAGAGGGAUCGCCUCUCAUCUGAACUGUUCUUAUCAGAAAAUGCGAUUGAUAUCUUCAUCUAAAGCAAAUCACACUGAAGGCACUGCGUUAGGUCACAGAUCCGAUCACUUCCGAGAGCUUGGUUUCUUCUCUGAGAAUAGCGAUGCUGUCUCUGUAUGAUUCAGGGCGAGGAGCAGAAGAAGCUCGACGUGCUCUCGAACGAGGUCUUCAUCAAGGCCCUGACUAGCAGCGGCAGGACGGUGAGUCUCCGCAGCCGAUCCUAUUUACUCACUGCGUCGGAGAGAACUCCGCCCGGUCACACCAGGAACAAACUGACGAGAUCCAGGGAAUGACCGCCAGUGCGUUCUCGUCUCCGAGGAAGACGAAGAAGCCACCGUCGUCGACCCCUCGCUCCGCGGAAGGUCUCCACCCGCCCGUCCUCUUUCCUCCUUGGGCAAACCUGCUGCUGCGGCCUGUGACAAGAUCUCCUUUCCUUCUGCCGUAGGUACUGCGUCGUCUUCGACCCUCUCGAUGGCUCCUCCAACAUCGACUGCGGCGUCUCCAUUGGAACAGUGGGCUCCCUCUCUCCCCCAUCAGACCGUCACAUCUCCCUCUUCCUCCCCACAGAAGAUACUCAUCUCUCUCUCUCUCUCUAGAUUUUUUGGGAUCUACAUGAUAAAGGACAAGAACAAGGUGACGGUGGAGGACGUGCUGCAGCCGGGGAAGAAGAUGGUGGCGGCAGGGUACUGCAUGUACGGGAGCUCUUGCAUGGUAUGCCGAUCAUGCAUAAGAUGAUCCAGUUUCUUCAUACGCAAUCGUGAUCCCCGAGGCUCUAUUCUACGUUGCAGCUCGUGCUGAGCACCGGAAGCGGCGUCAAUGGCUUCACCCUCGACCCAUCUCUCGGGGAGUUCAUACUCACGCACCCAAACAUCAAGGUACGCUGAAAGAGGAAAAAAACACGAUCAAUAUAUCAGCAUUUCUUUCAGAGUUAUCAUCUUGAAGUCCCCUCUGCAGAUUCCGAGGAAAGGAAGCAUAUACUCGGUGAACGAGGGCAACGCCAAGAACUGGGACGAACCCACAGCGAGGUACGAUGAACACCGUUGACUCCCCAUGUCUGGCGUCGGAACUCGUUGACUUGACACGUUUCGGUCAAACAGGUACGUCGAGAGGUGCAAAUUCCCCGAGGACGGAUCGUCUCCCAAGUCCCUCAGAUACGUCGGAAGGUCCUUCCCCCCUCCCUCCUCCCUCCUCCCACCUGCCAUCUCUUGCCUGUUCUUGACGGUCGCCGUCGUUCUUCGAGGGCUGCAGCAUGGUUGCCGACGUUCAUCGGACUCUGCUCUACGGAGGCAUCUUCUUGUACCCUGCGGACAAGAAGAGCCCCAAUGGGAAACUCCGGUAUGUCUGAAUCACUCCACCUCCACCCUCACCGACUGACUGGCUGGCUUGUGGGACUUACCACGAUGGCCUCUCUGUGGCGCAGAGUCCUCUAUGAAGUCUUCCCCAUGUCGUUCCUCAUGGAGCAGGCCGGAGGGCAAGCCUUCACCGGCAAGGAACGGGUAAAUACUGGCACAGCACCCUUGAUUUGUCACUUCUCUCUGUCAAUUGCGGUCGGGAUAUGAACUCGAGGAUGCCCUCCAAAUGGUUUCUGGCAGGCGCUCGACUUGGUUCCCACGAAGAUCCACGAGAGAUCUCCGAUUUUCCUGGGGAGCUACGACGAUGUUGAGGAGAUAAAGGCCCUAUAUGCUUCUUCAGUGGAGAAGAACGCCUGAUCCGCGUCCUGUUCAUCUUCUUCAUCCUCGUUCUCCCUUCAUGUGGUGUUAUUAUCCUCUCCCAUCCCCGGACAAAGGCUGCAGGAAAUUCCAGAAACCGUGGAGAUUCAGGCUCCCUGUGCAAGAUAAUUCCAUGGCCAUCGCUUGAGAAUGGCAGCGGAUGUGAAUAAGAAACACGGUCACCAUUGAUCGGCUCAGGGGGGGUCAUCAAACAGAGCCUUGUAGAACCUCCGUCUUUCUUCCGGCUGGUAAACCCUAGACGGUUCCACGGUCUCCUCCCCGUCUCGUGAGGUCCCCUUCCCCCCCCUCAGCGGGGCGACCUCCCCCUUCUUCCUCUUCUUCUCCAGAUUCGCCAGGUGCCGCCUCCUGUUGUACUCGUGCAGCCCUUCCUGCAUCAACUCCCCCAGCCUCUCCUUCGCGACCACCAGGGGGUGCUUCUCCACCAGCUCCGACCCGCUGUAUCCUUCCCUGAGGAGCACGGUGUAGAUCUUGUACCGGUUGGACACGUAGAAGAUGCAGGGGUGCCGGAGAAGCAGGCUCCCCACCCUCUCCGGCAAGGAGAACUCCCGCCUGAAGUGCCCCAACUUGACGAUUGACAGCUUCUUCCACAGGGUGAGGGAUAGCAGCUCGUGGACCAUUCCGACGGCCCGCUUCUCCGACUCCAUCUGCUCCGCCGAGUAGGGCGAGAUGUAGGGCGUACCUUCGUUGAAGGCGUCGAAGCUCGCGCGAGAUUUGAUCCAGGUCGGCGGCAGCGAGCAGAGGAAGAGGGGCGGGGUCUUGCGCUCCGCGGCCAUGGCCUCCACGGCGGAGACCGCCAGAUCGGCGUCCCACUGGAGGAGCUCGAUCUCCAUCGAGUUCCUUCUCCCGCUUCCAUUCGCGAUCCGGAAGACGUCCGAGUGCUUGAGGACGAUCCUCAGCACGUAAUCGUCCGGCAGCCCGAAGCUCCGCUUCAGCUCGUUCAGCUUGACCACGUUCAGCCGGUGGUCGCGGGCGAGCAUCAGGAGCUUCGCGAGCCGCCGCGCCAUGUCCUCCUCCGCUACCUCCCUGGUGGCCUCCUCCUCCUCGACGAGGGCGGCCAUGCGCUUGGAGAAGCCGUAGAGCAUCUCCCCGCUCCCGGCGGGAUCGAGGAAGGUUUCAAAGCAGCAAGGAUACUUGUGGAGCCAGUUCAGAGCCCGCCCCUGGAGAUCGAGCGUCUUGAAUCUCUUCUGGAGGGACUGCACUGUGGCGACGCGGCCAGGGCACCGAAGCAGGAUGUUCUUGAUCUGGUUGUUCACGAUCCAGCGGCGAUUGCGGGAGAGCGCCUUCUCCAGCGCGGGGUCCUUCGUCAUCGACCAGACGGAACGUCUCCAUUGGAGGCAGAACGGGGGAGCACGGCUUGGGCUAGAGUUUAGCGGGCUAGGGUUAGGGUUUUGGGGGCGGAGGCGGGGGAGAGCGAGGAGGCGGACGAUGGAGGUCCAGGCCCCCUUUAUGGCCAUCGCGAGGCUGCGAAAGCGGAAGGAGAACCCUCGGCCACGAUCGCUGGACUCUGAGACUAUACAGAUCCUCUAGAAUCCAUUCCGGAAACCGCGCCUUGCAUUAUACUGAGGAAGAAUGCAUUAUCACAACUUAUUCUCAGAAGCCUUCCGAAGCAACCGAAACUACGACGGGUUGUGCAGCGGGAAUUAGCGCAAUAUUAUAAAUCUGAUUUUUAAUAAAAUAACUCUCGGGAAUUCGUUAAUUUACGGGUCCUCGCGAGGGGAAAAUCCAAAAAACCCGACGUUUUUUUUAAUUCCCCCGUGAAAUAAUCAAUUCAAGAAAAUAGUGCAUUUUAGUGGAUUUGAUGAUAAACUAUCGUUGACCUGUUAAUGAAGUAUGAACUAACUAGAGAGAGAUAGAGUGGAUAAAUAUUUGUGUAUAUAUAUUUUUUAAAUUAAAAUGCAUAUUUUCAUUUAUAAUAUUGGGUUUUUAUAGUUACUUUAUUCAGUAAAAAAUAAAAUACAAAAUAUAGAUAUUUAAAAUUUAAAAAUAUCAAGUAUUUUAAAGUAAAUCACCGUACGUUAGCCUUCAGCAAUAUUAUCGGCAGCAUGGUACGUUACUCCUCAGGAAUACGUACUGUAUCUCUUCGUCUCUCUCUCUCUCUCUCCCUCGCUCUCUCUAGCAAUGCAAAUGAAAACUUCCAUCAAAGAAUCUAUCACGACCAACAUCACCAAAGUCCUCAUCAGAUUUCCUCACGAACGGGGAAUCCGAGAGGGGCAAAUCCUCGGGGCAACUAUUGCUCCGCGCUGCAGUGGAACGGAUUCGGAGCGCGUAGCCACGUCAUUGGCGUUCCUCAGGAGUUCUUCCGUGUCGGGAGGUUGUGUAGUGCCAUGGAUCCCGUUACAACGGUGAGAUUUUCACGCUCCUCUGGCAAUCCUCUGAACAUUAUUUGCUGCCUGGGGUAGGCGAAAUAAAGCGAGAGUGAAAAUUUGGCGGAGUACCUGAUCCUUCUCCGACGUCUCUCUCUCUCUCUCUCUCUCUCUCUGACCCAGGAUCUGAGAAAACAAAGGCGAAACAGCAAGGAAUACGCGAAGGGGGGAAGAGAGAGAGAGAGAGAGAGAGAGAGAGAGAGAGAGAGGAGGAGGGNNNNNNNNNNNNNNNNNNNNGGAGAGAGAGAGAGAGAGAGAGAGAGAGAGAGAGAGAGAGAGAGAGAGAGAGAGAGAGGGGGGGAUGUCGACCGAUAGUGAUGACCUCGACGAGGAUGAGCUGCUCCAGAUCGCGCUGAGGGAGCAGGCGGAGAGGGACCUGAGUUACAACAAGCGGUCCAAGGGAGGGCGGCCAGUCGUCAACCUCGUCCAGCCCCCUCCGCCUCCCCCCUUCAUGGCGAACAGCAGCCAGAGGAAGGCCAAUUCGGCGUCGAAUUCUGCCGUCAGGAAGGCGCAGCAGAAGCCGCAGAGGGGCCGUGCGGAUGCGGAUGACGACUCGGAGGUCGAGCUUCUCAGUAUCUCAUCGGGGGACGAGGACAACUCCAAGGGCAGGGGCCCUCCACCGAAGAGUCGCGGGGUUGUUGGGGAGAAGAAAGGUGGGAAAGGCGAUCUCGGAAAUGGUUAUUCCGUUUGGGAUGGUGAUGAGCCAGCCAGUUGGAAACGGGUCGACGAAGCAGAGGUAUUUCUUUUUUACGUGGAUCUUUGUUGCAUCACGGAUUUAUUCAAUGAUUUGGUUUGCGCCUCGCGGCUGGUAAUGUUAUUCCACAUUUAUGCAGCAUCUCUAUAAUUAUCGUUAUAUUUCUCUCCAUAACUACCAGUCAGAACAAAUCUAGGUAUUUUUUCUAUUAAUGCAGGUCUUAUAUCAUCGUCAUUAGCACUUUAAAAAUCAGUUAACAUCAUACGACUAAUUCAGAUGUGUUGUUAUAUAAUCCAAUCUGAGCAACACCGCUUUUCUCACUGCAAAUGCCUUUGUUUUCAUUCGUCCCUUAAAAGCAUAGGAACAUUUUUUUCUCUUUUCUUUAUAGAUUUCCCGGGCUAUAGUUUUUGAUAUUCCAUUUAUUUCAGAAGCUACGAAAGCUUGUAUAUCGAGGAGUUAAAAAAUCUUCUGUUGAACCAGGAAAGAAAUAGACGUAGUUCUUGUGUCACAGUUUAUCUUUAGAGAUCCUGCAUUCUUGAUCAAUGGCCUUUUUGACGCGAUUUAUUGGGUUUUGGGGUUAGCGGUGGACUAUCCAGUUCUAUCUUUAUUAUUGACUUCGUGUUAGUAUUUCUUGGUCCAAGACUACAAAAAUGUCUGACCUUUAGUAUUAAAGAGGUAUUACUAUCCUUCACUUUUAAAACUUUCGACGUUCAGCUCCCUGCUAUUCCUUUGAACAAAAUCGGUGAGUUACGUUCUUGAUAACAUACGCAGAUAAACAGUGACCGAAGAUGAUGUUAAGAAUGCAUAUAUAUGCAUGUCGGAAUGCAUAUAAGUCGCCUGUUGUGUUGGCUGAUUCUGAUUGUUGAUCUAGUUCAAAGGAGGCGACCUCUAUCGUACUUUUAUAAUUUUGUGGGGAUAACUUGCCAAUUCUUGGUCGACCCAGUUCAUCUUCCAAUCCGUAUAUGGGAACCAUGGCAUAUGUGCAUGGGAAACUGAGGCAAUGUUGAAGUAUUAAGUAUAAAUAGUUUCAAGAAAAGAAGGGGCAUCUGAUGGAUUUUUUAAGAACAUGAUCCAAUCGUGGAGUUUCUGCUCAGGCAAUUCCCCAUGCGAUUAAUAUCUAUCAAAGUUGGGUACUCUAGAAAAUAUGAGCCCUUGUUCAUUUGAAAACCCUGAUUUAUAUGGCGCACUUUCUUUUCAUGUUAUAUGUAAGUAAGUGGGUUGUCUCUACGAAUUUUUUUACUCAAGAUAUAAUUUUACCUUCAUGAUAUCAAUUUUUUUCUUUUCUUCUCAGUAUGCUGUCCAUAAUUCAUUGCAUUGUAUUAAUGUACUUCAUUGCAAUGACAUUAUAAAAGUUUCUGCCAUGUAAGAGACAUGGAAAACCUUUAUUGGGAGAUUCACAUUCUUUUUCCUUUUUUAUCCUUAAGCUUGCUCGCAGGGUCCGUGAAAUGAGAGAAACAAGAGUAGCAUCUGUGGUUGCAACUUUAGAAAAGAAAGCAUCGGCACUGGGUCCAAAAGUGCUUGCCAGCCUACAGUCCAUGCCUCGAGGAAUAGAAGCUCUGGAUCCCCUUGGAUUGGGGUAAAUCUUCUGGAGCUUUGCUAAUUUUACAUAUUGCAUUUGAUGAUCAUGAAAGCAGUUUGGGUGGUUGUAUGUUGGAGAUGCCAAAAUCAUUGGGUGUGACUUUGUUUAUGUCAUUAUUUACUGUUUGCGGUGUUAUACAGAUGUGGCUUUUGAUCUCUCUCUUUUAAUGUAGUCUUUUCUUUUAGCUGUCUAGUUGUUUCUCAUUCAUUGUCUCACAGCCAGAAGAAUGAACUUGCUUUUCUCCGUUGUCGUUAGUUUUCUCCAUUGUGUUGCAUGUUUAUCUUUGCCAAGUUGGUUUCAAUGAAGAAGAAGGAUUCUACACAGAUGAUGCGAUUGCUCUUCAUAAAGCUCUAGUGAGCAUAUUUCAUUGAAAUUAUCAUUAUAGAAAAAUUGAGUUGAACAUGUAGUGCAGAGAAAUAGAGAAAGAAAAGACAGGUAAGAAAAGGGACAUCUGAGGGAUCAGGAGAAUAUGGACCUGGAGAAGGCAGUUGAAGAGAUGGACACAUAAGAGAACUUAUUGACUGACUAAAAAUACCUGACAUUUUCCAUUCCCUAACUGAAGAUCAUGUUGGCAGACUGUAUGCCAUGUUUUCUGAAUCUUUAUUAUUGACAUGUUGCUUUCAAUCAAUGAGUCUAAGCCUCACACCACUGUGGACGUUCCCCCUAGGAAGUAGUUUUUAACAUUACUUCGUUAGAGCUCUCAACUCUUUAUGUCGUUGCCAUGUAGCAUGAGCAUUCUAGAAUAUGGUGAUGUGGAUAUACAACUUGUGGGCAAAAUUUAGCCACAACAAAAUGGUGGUAUUACCCUUCUACUCAAGUGAACGAGUUGUACGUGAAGUAAAUGAAUUGGCCCCGGUGAUCGGAGGUUCAAAGCAUAUUAGAUAGGUUCUCCUCUAAAGUUGGAUAAUAGUUAUAUUAUUAUAUCUUUUUUCGUGAGUAAUAUCUCCUAUCCUUAUGCUUUUUGCUGCAAAUUGGCAGGAUAAUAGACAGCAGGACGUUGACAUUGAUCACUGAUGAUUCAGAAAGUACCCCAGUUAGCCUUAAAGCCAAGGGUGACAGAGAUAAUCUAGAUCCAAGCAUCCGUGGUAUGUAAUUUUUUUUUGCCUACUUUUUGGUUCAAUAUAUGAAGAAAGAAUAUAGGUGGCCUAGAGUUAAAGUGUGAGUUUCUUAUAUCCUUUUAGUCAUCUUUAUGAACCUAAAUAUAUCAUUAGUAAUGUCUUCUCACAUCUUAUAUCUCUGUCCCUGAGUCCAACAUUUCAUUAUUUGCAGAAAAGAUUAUGUACUACUCUGAAGAUUUUGAUGCAAGGCUCUUCUUGUCCCGAGUACACAAAGAUACAAGCUCUGCCGACCUUGAGUCUGGUGCACUCACAUUAAAAACAGAUCUCAGAGGAAGAACACAGCAAAGGAAGCAAUUAGUCAAGGAAAACUUUGACUGUUUCGUGUCUUGCAAAACCACCAUUGAUGGUAUGUCCUUAUUGCCUGAACAUUAUACAACUGACAACUACAUUAUUAGAAAUGAGUUUAUGUUUUGUCUGUUUUCCGCGUAUUUUUAAAGUUUGAAUGAUUGUGCAAGAUUUCCAGGCACAAAUUCGCGUGGUUCUGUUGUUAAUGCGCAUCCAGUUCCUGUAAUCUUGUAGUUUGUUAACCUCUGCAGAUAUUGAGUCAAAGUUAAGACAGAUAGAGGAGGAUCCCGAAGGUUCAGGAACCACCCACCUUUGUACUGCUAUACAGAAUAUUAGUUUAUUGGCAAACCGUGCUUUUCAGCCUCUUUUUGAGAGACAGGUAAAAAGACAAGUCGAUCGUUUUCUUUCUGUAGUCCUAUCAUACUGUCUAUUGUCUCAUAUGACAUCAUGUUCUCGUUGCAUGAAUUCAGGUUCAAGCUGAAAAAAUCAGAUCUGUGCAAGGAAUGCUUCAAAGAUUUAGAACUCUCUUCAAUCUUCCCAGUGCAAUUCGUGGGAAUAUCAGUAAGGGUGAAUAUGAUUUGGCUGUCAGAGAGUACAGGAAGGCGAAGUCUAUUGUUCUGCCCUCUCAUGUAUGUCACCAAUUAUCUGCGUAGUUUUCUUUCCUUGAUCAGUUUGCCCUUUUUCAUUAGUAUUUAUUUUCAGAUUAUAUUUUUAUCGUCUGGAUGCUUCAUUUGUCGUUAACGGUGAUUUUUUGUUGUCCUUGUGAACAACUUACGUCGUUUUAUUCUAUCAUGACAUCAAGAUGAAGUUAUUUGAUUAGAUGCUUUACAAUUUUUGAUUUUUCUAGCAAUGUUGCAUUAACUAUUUAACUGUGAUCCUCAACUGUAUCCUGGAAUUAUCGGAUGAAUGUGUUUAUGAAUUUAUGGUAUUAAUUUAUUUAUAUUGUAGAAUAGUUUAUUUUUUUGUUCUUGUGUUUGUCGGUACUAAGAUCAAUCUUUUACUAUAUUGUGUUUGGCAUUCAGGUGGGAAUACUAAAACGUGUGCUUGAAGAGGUUGAAAAGGUGAUGCAAGAGUUCAAGACAAUGCUUUAUAGAUCAAUGGAAGAUCCACAGCUUGAACUUGCUGAUGUAUGUCGCUUCAUUUUAUUAUAAUUAUCAAACAAAGUAAAGCUUAUGAUGGAAGUCAGUCAAGUGUUUUAGUGAUCAUUCACUUUUUAAGUGUUAUUAUGUCCUGUGCCAUGAAUUUCAUAUUCACUAGCACAUUUUCAGCUCCCUAAACAUGCGCUAAGUGAUGUGACAGUGGACUGAGGGUUAUACUCUACCAGAAGACGAGAUCUCAAAUAUAAUGGCGAAUGAAGAUGGCAACCAUAGGCUUGAUGACUGAGGAACGUGGAUCUUUGUUAUAAUUCAUGAGAGAAUAAUCCGAAGAUCCCACAUAGAUAAUAAUAUUCUUGUAUUUUCAUUUUAGCAGAAUUAUUAUGAUUAUCAUUAAUACUAAUGUUACCUCUGAAAGUAAAACACUGUUCCUCAAAACUAGGAUUCACCAAUUAAACCCUGAUUCCUCUUCUUUAUGCAAAAUUUUUAGUGGAUAAUGGUUAAAUUAACCAGCAUGUCCUAAAUAGAUCGUAUUUCUUGUUAUUGUUUUACUUGGCUUCUCAGACUUGCUCACAUACCCUUUUCUUUAGGAUUUUCUUUUUUCUCGGAAAAUAAAAUUCUUAACAACUAUUACUUAUCUUUCACCAUUUAUUCUUUUAGCUUGAAAACACCGUCCGGUUGCUGUUGGAGUUGGAACCGGACUCAGAUCCUAUCUGGCAUUUUCUCAAUAUUGAGGUACUAGCUAGGGAAUUGAUUUCCAUCUGUUCACGAACUUAUUGAUGUCUAAUACUUCUCAUGUUCUAACUUUUUUCUCAUUAAUUUUUUUAUGAGUUCAAAGUCUUUAUUCGCUGUUUUCAUGUCUCUUUUGACAGAAUCGUAGGAUUCGUGUUCUUCUCGAGAAAUGUACUUCAGAUCAUGAAACACGAAUGGAAAUGCUCCGGAAUGAAAUAAAAGAGAAAUUGCAGUCUGAUGUGAGAUGGAGAGAACUUCAACAAAAUUCAAAGAAGUCGGUAAGUUCCUCACAGUUGAUGAAUUUCAGUUUUUAUGUUGCAAUUUUUAAUGAUGUUUAUCUUCUUGUGCGGACUAGUUAUUUGUUGUUAGAUUGGUUUAUCAAUUAAUCAUAAGCCCUUAUUCUACGUGUCUGAGAUUGUUCAAAAUUAAAGAUCGUAAGAAGGAUGGAAAAGUACUGGACAAUAAUUUUUUGAUUCCAGCCUUAUGUCACCCUACAUAUUUCGCCGAAUACAGACUUUCUAAGAAAUCUUUUUGAACGGAAGACCGUUUAGUUUCAAAGUACGAUUUGGUUGCUGGUUAAGGUAAAUUUCAUCAAGAAAAAGCUUUAGAAUAUGCAUAUAUAUAGCUGAUAUAUGCUGAAUAUAUACACAUAUAUAUUGACUACAAUGCAUAUGUGCGCCUAUAUGUAUCCUCAAAAGUGUAAGACAAUCAUAAGAAAAAGAAGAUUCUAGACUGUAAGGUGUAAAUUCACGUCACAUGAAAGGAAUGCUUAAUUUGUUAUUCUGAAGUCCUGUCAUGGUUUUACUCUUCUACAUUUUCUGGCCCUCAGCUACUUCUAAUAUCAAGUCGGCAUCAAUAACUUAUAAUCUGGUAGAACACCAAUUGGAACUGAAAAGGAAGCACUCCUAGAACAAAGAAACAAGUACAAUAGAACAAUAACACAGAGGGUAGAAAUGACCAGUCGGAGUGACUGAUCACCUUGGAGGAUAUUCGAGAGAUCCUCCCACUCUCCACUAGGUCCGUUCUCCCCGGAUGCCCCCUCUUGCCAACCUCCCUUCCUACUUAUACCUCCUUGGUCCGUUGUGUGCCAUUACCUCUAACCGUUUCCUGGGAUUGGUCCCACUCUUCUGUCAGUUACUGACCCCGUCGGUCCACCUCCUCUGUCAGUUACUGACCCCGUCGGUUCACCUUCUGUCAGUUGGGAACCCUUCUUAUGAUGUCGCCGAUAUGUUAGUAUCGGAGUCAUACCAUAAUCAUUUUUCUAAUCUCUCUCCUCGUAGUAUCAUUAACACAAAUAGCCAUAUUCCGAUCACAUAUGCUAGUAGAAACAUUGACAUUCCUUGGUAUCUUUUCUCUGGAAACUUCUCACUGGGGCAAAUUUAUCAUUUAGAUGCAUAUUAUGUUGUAAACCUUCUCUCCAUGCAGCAAACCAACCCACAGAACUAUUUACUAGAAAAUUUCAUCACGUAAAAAAAUGCUUGGCUAUCAUACUAAAUUCCUGGCGGUGUUAUAUUUUUAUUGGCUCUUUUUGUUCGUUGUUAUACCAUUAAGGACAUAUCAUGGGACUAUGCUCUUUGAUACUGGUGUUGGAAAAUGUUUUUUGUAUACCUUGACUGAAAACAUCUUAUUGGUCCUUUGAAAUGAAGUUAUUAUCAUUGUUAAAUGUUCUUGCAUUCAUUCCUUCUUCAUUCUCCCCGUCUGACGUGGAUCCAUCCUUUUAUGGGGAUGUCCAGUCGCCAUCAGAUGCCUCUCUAGACUUAACUACUGAGGAAGUUGAUGCUCUGAGAGGAGGAUAUAUCCGCAGGCUAACUGCUGUACUUAUCCACCAUCUGCCAGCGUUUUGGAAGCUAGCUCUUUCCGUCUUCAAUGGGAAAUUUGCAAAGGUAGUUUAUCUUUCCUUAAGGUGUUAACUUUCUAUGUCGUCAAUGAGGUCGUGUGUUUAUUUGGUUUAUGUACUUUGAUGAGUGUUUUUGAUUACUUAUUUUGCACAUUUGGGCAUGUAUAUCUUCUGAUGACGAACUUCUUCUUUUUGUUCAGCGAUUUACUUUUUGGACCUUGAGAUAUUUGAGUUUUAUCUCAUUCGAGUUGUUUAUCUGAAUUUAUUUACAUGCUGGCAGUACAAUGCUCUGAUACAAUUUGUUCAACAAAAAAUAUACACGUACACCAGUAUUAAGCUUGGCUUUGUUUGUUCUUUUCAGAGUCUAUUCACUUGAAAAUUACUAAUAGUGUCUUCAUAGUCCCAUCUAGGUGUGCCUCUUGUCGUCUCAAAGUUAGCUCCAUUUUCACUGUAGAAUGGCUCGAAUCCAGGGGAUUGGAUCAAAGUUUCACAUAUGUUUCAGUCAAAUGUUCCAAUCUUUUGGCCAGUGACACUAUGUACCCUUCGAGUCUAUCCGUCCCUCUCUCUCUCUCUCUCACACACACACACACAAACACACACACUCCCCGCCAAACCCCCCCACCACCAUCCACACACCCAUACAUGAAGAGGUUAAAAAAAAUUUGACACUUAGGCCUAGGCUUAUCUGCUCUUUCUAUUUCGAGCUGUGGCGGGAAUUCAUAAUGUUUACAAUCAUCAGUGAGGGAUGCAGCAACAUGGUCAUCACAAGAGUAAUACUGUGUGACAACGAGGACUUCUGUUUGAAUUUAUUUGAUUAUAGCUAGAAAUGAGGACUUUAAUCGGCGAUCAGUAUCAGUUUUCUUUCUGUUCUUGCUUCACCACAACUGAAAUUUAGAUAAAUAGUUAUUCAAUUCUCACCCGUUACCUACUAUUCAUAUUGCUAUUCGAUGCAAUGGCCAGGUUUCUGUUGGUAAUGCUCUUGAUCAAGAAACAGGUGCCAAAACUGGCAUAAAUAGGGCAGAGGAAAGAGCUGGUGAAAUCAAGUACUCAAGCCAUUCUAUUGAGGAAGUUGCAGAAAUGUUCCUUGGUACUCUGUCUGCAUACGAGGGCAAGGUUAUUUUUUCUAUCCCUCUUAAUUUUUCUUGAUUCCUGUUAUUUUGCUUGUUUUUUCUGGAAUAAUCUGAUGAUGAUUGCUGCAAAAGUAAACAUAUGGUUGCCGGAAUGGGUUUAUCACGCACGUAACGAAAUGGUUUUGAGUAGAUUAGUUUGAAUAAAAUACCAUCGUUUGAUAUCAUAGUUGAUGGUUAAUCUUGAGUUGCACACGCUCCUCUAAAUGUCUACAUAGCAAAGUCAAAAAAAUUGUUUGCAUGUGAGAAGAUGCAUUAAAAUAUUCUAGCCUUAUAAAAGCAAACAUGCUAUCCUAACGAUGAGUCUGCUCCUUUCAUAACUUAUAAUUAUUGAAGGAAUGAACUAUAUUCAAUCUCUUUAGCAAAUAAAUGACCUUGCUUAUUCUCUUCUUGCUAAAAGGCUAGAUUUUGACCAUACUGGAUUAUGAAGUUUUCCAUAAAGAAGUUAAUGGAGAUAUCCUUUUCCUACGUACAUGUACCUUAUCAAAUCUGUGUGUGGGUUCCAACAUUGCUCUUGACGUGGAUAGUUUUGUUGUUCCCGAAAGAAUGCUUUUGUCUGUUAUUUUGAAUGCAUGGAUUUGUUUGAAACUCCAUCUUGGAUUUGGGAUUAAAUGACAGUCGUAAAAUUAUUAUCUUUAUUGAUCUACAGAGAAAGUUGUCUUGCCAGGGAAAUGGAGUUCUUAAAAAUUUGAGGCCUUGGAGUGAAUACAUAUAGGAGUUUCUUGGUUGUUUAUCAAUGUGAUGUGUCGGAAUUAUCAGUCAGUUGGUCAAGCCGUAUUUCUCCUGAACUCCAGACACAGAUAGCUCUUCACUGGGUUUAGUCCAAACGAACAUAUUUAAAUCCUUUGUUCCAUUGACCAUGAAUUCCACCCUAUCAGAGGAAACAUACAUGAGCACCGUUAAAUCCGUAAAAUGAAGUCUUCCUAGCACAGAGUGAUAAUGUUAGCCCACCCAACAGUUCUUGUCUAUCCUCUAACAAACGGGCCAUUCUAAAAUAAUCAUAUUGUAGUCAUUUUCUUCUUGAGUCCCUUGCUAAUCAUGGUCAUUAUGGUUGUUCCUUACGUCUAAUAUAUUUAAUGGAAUGACUAAAUAAUAAAGAUAAAGUUGCUUUUAAGAACAUAAAUGCGUAAUUAGUAUUAUUUAACCUUCUUCGUCGCUUUUCUAUUUGCGGUGUGUUCUUUUCAUACAGAAUGGUAUACAGAGUUAACAGAUCCCAACCAGUGAAACUGUAUUUAUGGCUAAAUAAACUGUUGAGGGUAGUUUUAGAUCUGAACUAAGAUAAACUCGUCCAGGGUGUUUAUUAAAACCGUUAAAUUCGAAUAUGGUAAAGUACCCCCGUGCUGGGGGAUUACUCUUAGAAACUAAAAUGUUAUUUUUUGUCGUUCUGUUGUCUUUUAAUAAGGUUUGGUUGACUUUGUUAAAAUACACUCUUUUCUCAAAAAAGUAAUCCAUUACCUCACAAUUUUUCUCAUUACAUGACAUAUUGUAAUGUUGUCUGAUUAUUUCAACGUUUAACUGGAAUCAUUUAUUUCAUCAUCCUAAGAACGAACUAAUCAGACCUUCUUUUCAAAUGAAAAAAAGUGACCAAUUCCUGCCUAUAUCUACUUUUGGAUGAAAAAUAUCGAAGAUUGGCACCAGAGGUGGAGGGAAGACGGGGAAAUAAGUGUUUCGCUUCUUGCUGCAUACUUCCAUUCAAUACAAAUUGCCCCUGGUCCAAUUUCCUGCUCUGACGUGAUCAAGUUUAGGUUACAGGAAGGGGGAAUGGAGUUGUGUGUGUGUUUUUUUUUUGGGAAAAAGGCAUUUAUUGUACUAUUCUUUUGAUUUUAGCCUUCUCAACUAAAAAUCUUAGGCAGAUAUUUUAAACUUUUAAAUGUAUCCGUACCAUUUUACCCAUUAUCAGCAUUUCCCCUCUGGCUAACUUGACCCAUCUGAUCAUAGUGUGGAAGUAAUUGGACGUGCUCAGCCGGGUUGCCUGUCCCCCUUCAGAUUAUGUGAUUGUGAAUUAGAUCCUCCUAGGACUCCCAGAAGGCAGUAAAUAAGAACAGAGAUUAAAUAAGGAGAAAUACAGGAAGGACAAUCACAGUUGUGAACAUUGAAUUAAUGCGGUUUCGAUAUCCUCCAUUCAUUACCAAAUUAAACCUACCAUGCUAGAUGCGUAGUACAAGAAAGGAGAAAUAAAGAGAAACAAAGGAAGGACGAUCACAAACGUGAAAUUGAAUUAAUGCGGUUUCGAUAUCCUGCCUCCAUUACUAAAUUAAGCCUACCAUGCCAGAUGAGUAGUACAAGAAACAAGGGAGGAUGGAUUCCUUUAAAUAUGUGAAGGCUAAGGCAACACACCAAUGGCCCAGUAAAGUCACAAAUAAUAAAGUUCGGACGAAACAGGGGGUUGAAUUUACCGCUCGGGAAAACAGAAUCUAAACCUCAACAUCUGCAGCUAGCCCUGGAUCUUCAGUUUUGUUGGUUUUGAACCCUGAAACAUAAGAACUCACAGAAACCAGGCUAAGAACCAAUUGAAGUUGAUUAUUUAUAUGCGCCACAUUUUUUUAUGGAACUGGUGGGAACACCCUUGUCCUGCUAGAAUGUUGUUACUAGCCAGAAGCAAAACUUGGGCCUACAAUGACCAUUUUCCUUUAUUAGAAGUUUGAUCUGUUUGAAUAUGACGCAUGAACUUGAGUUUUAUCUUUGUUACGUGCUCAAGGCAUUAGAUGUCUUCUUGCCAUUUCCAUGCAUUGAGAUAUCAGGUGUCUUUAAACCUGUUUCAACAUUGUACAACCCAUUCUAGUCGGGAUAAAAUUUCUUGUUGUUGUGAUUUUUCUAUAUGAGGCCGUUUGAUUUGUGUAUCUAAACGUUUUUUACAUCGUGGUCUACUUUUUUCAUAUAGUGACAGCAGUUUAAGUUCCUUUUCUUGACUCAGGUUCACACAACAUUUAGAGAUUUUCAAGAGUCAAAUGUUCUUCGUCCAUACAUGAUUAAUGCUAUAAAAGAUGUAGCUAAAGCAUGCCAAUCUCUCGGAGUGAAAGAGUCUGCUCCACGACGUGCAGGUAUUUAUGUAUCUUUAUUGCUUGAAGACUGACAAUCAACUCGAUACUCAGUGCAACUUAAUUGAUUUUGGCAGUUAAAUCUUUACGUGCCCUUCAUUUUGAGAUUGCAAAGAUUUAUGUAUCAAGGCUGUGCUCAUGGAUGCGGGCAACAACUGAGGAGAUAACCAAGGAUGAAACAUGGAUUCCUUUGUCUAUUUUAGAGAGAAACAAAUCACCAUAUAUGAUUUCUUGCUUGCCCUUGGCUUUCCGUAGCAUUGCUGUGUCCGCCAUGGAUCAAAUCAGUGUGUAAGCUCUACUUGCUUGUUUCCUCCCCUUACAUUAAUUAUUGGGCUCAUUAGGCUUAUUAUUUUUGUAAAUUUGUGCUAAUCGGUAUUCAUUAUAAUACAUCUGUUAUAGUACUUUUUUUCGUCAUGUUUUGUUCAUAACCUUGUUUAAAUGGUAACCUAAUAGUCAUUCUAUAUUUAAUGACCAGGUUAGCCAUCAUGCUGUCUCUUUGUGAUGAAAUGAAAUCCAUUAUGGAUGUAUAGUCAUCAUGGGCUGCUGCCUCUAUUCUACCUGUGCUAAAUCGUAUAAUCUGGUUUGGUCUUUGAGUUGCAAAGAUAUGCUGAGUGAGGACUGUGCAAGUCAGUCCCCUUUUACCAAGAUCUGGUCACUUGUAUUCACCUCUGUCAGUUUCAACCUGUGCCAUUUUGCAUAAGUUGCAGCACUAUGGCCCAAUCCUGUUUAAUUUAGGUCAGGCUCAUUCGAAUCCGAACAGUACAUUCAGAUGAUGCCGGGUUUUAGUACCAAACAAUAUCUGCACACUAAUUAAUCUCCGAAAAAUCCUCCGUUUUUUUGGAGACCACCAUAUUAACCAAGCAUUGGUUGAUCUACAACUUGGAAACAUCAAAUAAUAUUUUUGCAAUCUAAAGGGGAUUUUUGAUCAAAUUCUUCCAAUGUAUGCUGUCUCAUAAGAACCCUUCCUAUUUUAGAAGUAAAAUCUAUUCGUAGGCUUUUUUUGUCAUGCGAUAUAUGAAAUGGCUAGACGAUUUUUAAAUGUUUUGGGCAUCUUGGAUCCAUUGAUUUGAAAGAGAUCCCAAUAGAUUCAGGAAGUUUUUGAAAAUUUUAAUUUUAAUUUUAAAUUCUUCCUAUUUAAAGUUUUUGAAAAUUUUAAUUAUAUAUAUAUAUACAUGGAUGUGUUGCCUGCAUGUAUUUGGCCCUUGACUAUUCAUCUGCACGUGAAAAGCAUGAAGUGGCAAACACCAGGUUUCGAUUUUUGGCGUAGCCUUAAGCUUACAUUUACAUGGUGCCAAUGGAUACCUUCUCUGUUUAAUUAAUCAGGUACUCUGUCAAUCAUCUCUUCCUGUCAUUUGUAUCAUAGGAUUCUAAUAGGUGUCAAUGGUAUUGGAAGAAUAGCAGUGAAUUACUGUUAGAUGCUGUGUGACUAGUGGAUCACAGCCGCGCAUCAUUGUUUAAAUCUGUUCUUUAAUCACCUGGCUUUCUGGUUUUGUAGCAGCCGUGCAAUGUAGAACUUUGGACAUUCAUUCGGCAAAAUUUAUAUUAUGUUAACCGUCUUAGAAAACUGGUCAUUCUACACAUCCCUAAAAAUUUAGUUUAUAAGACAUUGCUAUAAUGGACUUUUUUUAGACAUUACUUUUCUUCAUUUUUGAAGAGUAUUGAACACCCAAUUGAUGAUUGGCUGAUGCAUGUGUACUGGUUUCUCACUUUUUAAGGACAAAACGUCUUUGCGUCCAAGAAAAUACAUAUCUAACUUAAUGUUCCCCUGUUAUUGACGAUCUUUUUGUCUGUAUGACUUUUAUUUGUAGCCUACCUUUUGCUCCUCAUGGUGUAACGGGCGUAAUUCUUUAUUCUUACUUAGUGAUAUAGAAGUCUGACAACCCUAAAUUCUUUUAAUAUGACAAUCCUAAAAUUCUUUUAAAGUUGUUUUCGGUUUUUGUCAGGAGUUUUAGCAUUGUGGUCACAUUCCUGUCUCUAUGCCUUUCUGCUUCUUGAAUAUUGAAGCUGAGAGUUUAUGGUUUUCUUUAUCCUCUGCUGUAAGAUUUGCUUCUCGUUUUGAUGUUCUCCUUUUGCUGUAGGACGAUUCAGAUUCUAAGGAAUGAGGCAACAAAAUCGCACGAGAUGUUCACAGAGGUUCAGGACAUUCAAGAAUCUGUGAGAAGUGCAUUCUUAGGCUGUUUUCUUGAUUUUGCGGGUACCACUUUUCAAAACCCCAAUCAUUAAUGUUAUGUAUUGGAUUUGACCAUUAGAAUGCUACAUUGAUAUACUUUUGGGCCUACGUUCUCCAAUCAGGCUAUCUGGAGCAGAUGGGAGGUGAACUGUCUAACAGUGCAUCAAUUAAAGAAAGUUUACAUCUGGAAGAUAGAUACUUGUGCGAACCGGAAGGUCAUGCUAGAAGCUCUGUCUCUGGUCCGUAUAAAAGGCUGCUAAUUGUCUUGAGCAAUGUCGGCUAUUGCAAAGAUGAACUUUGUGGCGAGUUGUAUGGAAAGUACAAACAUAUAUGGCUGCAAUCUAGGUAUGCUUCUAUGAUGGAACAUUGUCGCUUGCAUUUGAAUCUGGAAUUUUGUGCAAAAAUACUGAGUUUCUAAGUUUAAGAGAUCGAAAUGCUUUAAAAAUCGAUGUGAGAAAGUUGUAAUUUAAUUGGUUGAUUCUUUGCAGUUUGAAACUGGUUCAUAACUUCACUCAGACAAUCAGAACUCUUUCGACGUUUAUCAGCUUUAGUGUAUUACGUAAUUAAAUGUCUACAAUAUGGUUUGCUAUGUUAGUGUCAAAGUCAGUGCUGCUGCAUGAAAGUAACUAUUGGUUUUUUGGGAUUUACAUGGUAUUUUUUCAUUCCAAGAAAAAAAUUCAUUUUAUUUUGUCUUCUUAGAUGCACAGAGCUUGUGCAAUGCGAACUAAAACUUUGAGAAAUGUUUUAAGGUCAGUUCCGGUUUUACUCACGUUAAUGUUCAUCUUCAUGUUCUCCAUUUUUUCCACGGUAUUAGGUAUAUUAGUGAAGGUACGAAUUUUCCUCAUUAUGGAUUCCACGCUGUCAGUUGACCAACUCGACGCAUUGAAUUGGGAGCUAGGUUUCCCUUGUUUCUGUCAGAAAAUGCAUGUAGGUUAAUCUCUCUUCAGUUUGCGAAGAUACUGCUGUUUUCUUGAUCUACCCUAUUGGUCAAGGAAGUUUUUCUGAUGGUUUGUCUCUAGGAAUUUCUGGUACAUUCAACUUCAUAAUUGUAUUCAAGACAGAACACAUCCUUAUGCACCCAUUCCACAUGUUAGGCGUAGCUGGUGUAUUCUGUCUGUCCGUCUUUUUUUGAUUUUUUUUAUCAUUGAUUCGAAUAAUUUUUUUUCAUGCAUAAGUAUUAUUUCAACCUCUAGUUAUUAAACUUUUGUGAAUGUACCCAAAAGAGGUGAUAAGUAACUUCUCUUUUAAAAAAAUCAAAUCAUACUAGUAAGUUCUGUUUGGAUGGUUCGGAAACAACUGAAACUCAGUUUAGACUCAUGGAAGUACUGUAAUACUAGUUCGAAUGUUGAACUAGUCAAUCAAGCUAUUGUAAGUGAGACUUGAGUAGUUUAUGUUAACCAUAGUGUAACUUGUAAUGAUGUGGAUGCAGAAAUUCGUGACUUCCUGAUUCUGUAAAAUGUUCUCGUUUUCAAACUUAAUGUUCUGACAAAAAUAAAAGGGGUAGAAUUAGACACAAUUCGCAAACCCCCUUUUCAGCUGUUUUUAUGUAGAAAAGUCAGUUCAUCCUAAGACCUAAAAUGGGCAUAAAGGGCUCAACUACAUCUAAUAGUGGGCCUAUUGGAUGCAUAUUCUCAUGAACCAUCUAACAUCUGUUGCAUUUAAUUAGGACAUGAUUUUUUGUUUCGAACACUAUUUUGUCAUUUUUCCUAUUGGUUUUGCUUAGUGUGAUUUAACCGGGAUGAAGAUGAGUUUGUAGGCAGCCUUCCAAAAAAAUUGGCUCUUUUUCACUCUCUGUUUUAUUUUCUGAAAUCUGUUAACACUGCAGGGAA
rnacentral:lncRNA from 1 species